rnacentral:rRNA from 1 species
AUACGGAGGGUGCAAGCGUUGUCCGGAAUCAUUGGGCGUAAAGAGUUCGUAGGUGGUUUGUUAAGUUUGGUGUUAAAUGCAGGGGCUCAACCUCUGUUCGGCAUCGGAUACUGGCAGACUAGAAUGCGGUAGAGGUAAAGGGAAUUCCUGGUGUAGCGGUGAAAUGCGUAGAUAUCAGGAGGAACAUCGGUGGCGUAAGCGCUUUACUGGGCCGUAAUUGACACUGAGGAACGAAAGCCAGGGUAGC